AGCAGCCGCGGUAAUUCCAGCUCCAAUAGCGUAUAUUAAAGUUGUUGCAGUUAAAAAGCUCGUAGUUGAAUUUCGGGAUCAAUACGUCGGUCGUGCCUCCGGUACGUACUGGUGUUGUUGAUUUCUCCCUUCUGAUGAGCCACGAUGUCAUUAAUUUGAUGUUGUGGGGAGUCAGGACUGUUACUUUGAAAAAAUUAGAGUGUUUAAAGCAGGCAAACGCUUGAAUACAUUAGCAUGGAAUAAUGAAAUAGGACGUUCGAACCUAUUUUGUUGGUUUCUAGGAUCAACGUAAUGAUUAAUAGGGAUAGUUGGGGGCAUUAGUAUUCAAUUGUCAGAGGUGAAAUUCUUGGAUUUAUUGAAGACUAACUACUGCGAAAGCAUUUGCCAAGGAUGUUUUCAUUAAUCAAGAACGAAAGUUAGGGGAUCGAAGACGAUCAGAUACCGUCGUAGUCUUAACCAUAAACUAUGCCGACUAGGGAUCGGAUGAAGUUAAUUUUUUAACGACUCAUUCGGCGCCUUACGG
rnacentral:rRNA from 1 species